rnacentral:tRNA from 2 species
GCCUGGGUGGCGGAACUGGUAGACGCAAGGGACUUAAAAUCCCUCGGGGCUUGCCCCGUGCGAGUUCGAUUCUCGCCCUAGGCACCA